ACCCCGGGAGGGGAGUGAAAGAGAACCUGAAACCAUAUGCCUACAAGAAGUCAGAGCCCGUUAAAGGGUGAUGGCGUGCCUUUUGUAGAAUGAACCGGCGAGUUACUGUAUGGAGCGAGGUUAAGCAGGAUAUGCGGAGCCGAAGCGAAAGCGAGUCUUAAGAGGGCGAGAGUUGCAUGCAGUAGACCCGAAACCGGGUGAUCUAGCCAUGACCAGGUUGAAGUUGGGGUAAAACCCGAUGGAGGACCGAACCGACCCCCGUUGAAACGUUGGCGGAUGAGUUGUGGCUAGGGGUGAAAUUCCAAUCGAACCCGGAGAUAGCUGGUUCUCCCCGAAAUAGCUUUAGGGCUAGCGUCGAGAGAAGUCAUGUGAAGGUAGAGCACUGAAUAUGUGAUGGCCCCAUCUCGGGGUACUGAGCAUAAUCAAACUGCGAAUGUCACGCCAACAUGCUCGGCAGUCAGACAGCGGGUGAUAAGGUCCGUUGUCAAGAGGGAAACAGCCCAGACCAUCAGCUAAGGUCCCAAAAUGUAUGCUAAGUGGAAAAGGAUGUGGAGAUGUACAGACAACUAGGAGGUUGGCUCAGAAGCAGCCAUCCUUUAAAGAGUGCGUAACAGCUCACUAGUCGAAUGACUCUGCGCCGAUAAUUUACCGGGGCUAAGCAUACUACCGAAGCUAUGGAUCCCAAGGGAUGGUAGGGGAGCGUUCCAUGAACGGAGAAGUACGACCGAAAGGACGUGUGGAGAUCAUGGAAGAGAGAAUGCCGGUGUGAGUAGCGGAACGUGGGUGAGAAUCCCACGCACCGAAAACCCAAGGUUUCCAGAGGAAGGUUCGUCCGCUCUGGGUAAGUCGGGACCUAAGGCGAGGCCGAAAGGCGUAGUCGAUGGACAACAGGUAGAGAUUCCUGUACCCGUAUAUAUGUGAAGGAAUGACGGAGAGAGGAAGCUGCAGCCAGCGGCUGGAAGAGCUGGUGCAAGCGAGAUAUCGGGAUGGCAGGCAAAUCCACCAUCCGAAACGAGAAGGCGUGAAGCGUACGGAAAGCUACGGCGAGUACGGAAGGCAGUGGAGGAACUUCCAAGAAAAGUUUCUAACGUAAAGUAUAUAUGGCCCGUACCGAAAAUGGACACACAUGGGUGAGGAGAGAAUCCUAAGGUGAGCGAGAGAACUAUAGCUAAGGAACUCUGCAAAAUGACUCCGUAACUUAGGGAGAAGGAGUGCUCAUAGAGAUAUGAGCCGCAGUGAAACGGCCCAAGCGACUGUUUACCAAAAACACAGCUCUCUGCUAAGCCGCAAGGCGAAGUAUAGGGGGUGACGCCUGCCCGGUGCUGGAAGGUUAAGAGGAGGUGUCAGCGCAAGCGAAGCACUGAAUUGAAGCCCCAGUAAACGGCGGCCGUAACUAUAACGGUCCUAAGGUAGCGAAAUUCCUUGUCAGGUAAGUUCUGACCCGCACGAAAGGCGUAACGAUUUGGGCGCUGUCUCAGCUGUAGACUCGGUGAAGUCUUAGUACCUGUGAAGAUGCAGGUUACCCGCGACUAGACGGAAAGACCCCAUGGAGCUUCACUGCAGGUUGAUAUUGGGAUUUGAUGCAGCAUGUACAGGAUAGGUAGGAGGCAAAGAGAUGGAUACGCCAGUAUUCAAGGAGCCGCUGUUGGGAUACUACCCCUGUUGUAUUGGAUUUCUAACCGGACGACGUAGAGCCGUUGACGGGACAGUGUCAGUCGGGCAGUUUGACUGGGGCGGUCGCCUCCCAAAGAGUAACGGAGGCGCCCAAAGAUACCCUCAGCUUGGAUGGAAACCAAGCGCAGAGUGCAAAGGCAAAAGGGUGUUUGACUGCGAGACCCACAAGUCGAGCAGGGACGAAAGUCGGGCUUAGUGAUCCGG
rnacentral:rRNA from 1 species